UACGGAGGGGGGCGAGCGUUAUUCGGAAUUAUUGGGCGUAAAGGGCGCGUAGGCGGCCUGCUAAGUCGAACGUGAAAUCCCUGGGCUCAACCCAGGAACUGCGUCCGAUACUGGUUGGCUUGAAUCCGGGAGAGGGAUGUGGAAUUCCAGGUGUAGCGGUGAAAUGCGUAGAUAUCUGGAGGAACACCGGUGGCGAAGGCGGCAUCCUGGACCGGUAUUGACGCUGAGGCGCGAAAGCCAGGGGAGCAAACGGG
rnacentral:rRNA from 1 species